AAACUUUCAACAACGGAUCUCUUGGCUCUGGCAUCGAUGAAGAACGCAGCGAAAUGCGAUAAGUAAUGUGAAUUGCAGAAUUCAGUGAACCAUCGAAUCUUUGAACGCACAUUGCGCCCGCCAGCACUCUGGCGGGCAUGCCUGUCCGAGCGUCGUU
rnacentral:rRNA from 1 species